rnacentral:rRNA from 1 species
AUUGAACGCUGGCGGAAUGCUUUACACAUGCAAGUCGAGCGGCAGCGCGGGGGCAACCCUGGCGGCGAGCGGCGAACGGGUGAGUAACAUAUCGGAACGUACCCAGUCGUGGGGGAUAACUAUCCGAAAGGAUAGCUAAUACCGCAUACGACCUGAGGGUGAAAGCGGGGGACCGUAAGGCCUCGCGCGAUUGGAGCGGCCGAUAUCGGAUUAGCUAGUUGGUGAGGUAAAGGCUCACCAAGGCGACGAUCCGUAGCUGGUCUGAGAGGACGACCAGCCACACUGGAACUGAGACACGGUCCAGACUCCUACGGGAGGCAGCAGUGGGGAAUAUUGGACAAUGGGGGGCAACCCUGAUCCAGCCGUGCCGCGUGUGUGAAGAAGGCCUCGGUUGUAAGCACCUAAGCAGGGAGGAAGGACUCGCAGAUUAAU